AAGGAGCACUCGGCCAGCCUGGACUCUUAUUGCGAGGGUUGGGUUUGGUCCAUGCCGGGUUCAGGGGCGAAUGUUCCCUGCCUGGUGCGCUCAUUAGUGGAGCACUGGUUAUUCGGGUCGGCCGGUUCUGGUCGUCUGGUGGGUACCGCCGCGAGUUGAUCGCGGAGUGGGAAAGCCGGCGGUGGGGGUUGGUUGGCAUCGGGCACACUGUUGGGUCCUGAGGAAACGGACCGUAUGCCCGGCACCUUGGGGUGUUGGGCGGUUUGUUUCUUCCAGGGCUGGUCUCCUGUCAUACCGGCCGGGGCUUGUGGGCGGUUGCUCGUGGGUUCGGGUGUUUGGUGGUGGGGUGGGCUGGUUGUCUGGUUGUUGUUUGUGAAUUCGAUAGUGGACGCGAGCAUCUUUGUG
rnacentral:misc_RNA from 1 species